AUUGAACGCUGGCGGCAUGCCUUACACAUGCAAGUCGAACGGCAGCACGGGAGCAAUCCUGGUGGCGAGUGGCGAACGGGUGAGUAAAGUAUCGGAACGUGCCCAGUCGUGGGGGAUGACGUAGCGAAAGUUACGCUAAUACCGCAUACGACCUAUGGAUGAAAGCGGGGGAUCGCAAGACCUCGCGCGAUUGGAGCGGCCGAUAUCAGAUUAGGUAGUUGGUGGGGUAAAGGCUCACCAAGCCGACGAUCUGUAGCUGGUCUGAGAGGACGACCAGCCACACUGGGACUGAGACACGGCCCAGACUCCUACGGGAGGCAGCAGUGGGUAAUUUUGGACAAUGGGCGCAAGCCUGAUCCAGCCAUGCCGCGUGCAGGAUGAAGGCCUUCGGGUUGUAAACUGCUUUUGUACGGAACGAAAAGGUUUGGCUUAAUACGUUGAACUCAUGACGGUACCGUAAGAAUAAGCACCGGCUAACUACGUGCCAGCAGCCGCCGUAA
rnacentral:rRNA from 1 species